UCCAUCCGUGAUGAAGGGCCUACGUGAGGU
rnacentral:piRNA from 1 species